CUUCUGGCCGGAAGACAAGACUCCGCGGGAAAAGCUGCCCUGCUAGGUGGACGAGGAGCUGUCGCGCUGAGGCAGUUUCCUCAAGAGUAACGGCGGGCCUGUGCUAGGGUCACACCACCAGCCUCCGUUUUCUUUAUCCUUCUCUCUCACCAAACGAUAUUCCUGCUCAGUUACAAAGUGCACGUUGUUUCCCUAAGCUGAGAUGGGAGUAACAGAGACCACACUUAAAAAAGACAAGACAAAAUGCAUGUAAGAAUGGUUCUUGAGACUCUGAACAUCUCACAGUGAAGGACGGUGAUUGCUGAGAGAUGAGAAACAAACAAGGUCGCUUUGAAGAGAGAGGAGAUUCCGAGCUACCUGUGAAGGAGAUGCGUUUGGAUGUCGCAGGAGAAUCUGUCAGCUCCUUCUCUGCUUGGCUGGACGACGCUGGAAGGAAAAGCAGAAGAUGUGAUAUAGCAGCCAGACCAGGCCAGCUCCCAGAGGGUUUGUGUUGGGUGAAAAUCAACAUUCAUUUAUAGCACAGGAUUUUCUUGAAACACCAAAAUUCAAGUAGGAUGAGCAUCCGGACUGACUUAUCAAGCACGCUGGAAAAGAAGCAAGUGUUCCAUUUCCCCCAUGAAUUUCUGUCACUAUUUUAACAACUGAAUGCUAAGAAAAAAAGAUAAAUGGACUAAAAGGCUCUGAGCUGGAUUAAGCUAAAUUUGGUGUAUUCUGAUUUCCCCCAAUCAAGACACAGUCUGCUGGCCUAUAGGGGGCAGUAGGGCAGAGAGCGGGUGGUAGAGUCUUACCAGUGUGGCUCUGCAAAUGGCUAGUCAACCUGAGUACCCAGACACACUCCACCUUCACACAAGUCCUCAACAAUGUGAGCCUAACUUGAUUUUCCCAGCUCUUGGAAUCACAACACAGCACAUCACAGGAGACACGACACAUGUGACCCAAGAAAGGAUAUCCGCAUACAAAUACUUGGAAAAAAAUCAAGUUUGGGUUUAGUAACCUGUUUUUGGGGGAAAAGUAAUUGAAGAGUGGAAGAGGUAAGGCAUGAAUCCAACGUAUAAUCUGAGCAAUGCUCCAGACACCAGCGUUUAUUCCAAGUGGGUGGUGAGAGGGAAAGCCUCCUCUCUGCUUGCCCAAACCACACCCCAUUUCACCAAAAAGAACAACCAAAACACUAAUUAAUGAGAAGGGUCACAUGAGACUUAAGAAGCAACAGUAGGCAGAGAAAUGUGGGUAGAAGGAGUUCUCUGAAACAUGGAAAAGAAUCUGGAAGAUUUUGAUCAUAAAACCGCUGGGUUAAAGAUUUAACAAGGAUCAGCAGGGCUUCUCUGUUGUAAACACAUCCCAACAGGAGUAGAUGUGGUCGUUCCACAACCUGGUCAGUAUCUGAGGGUUGGUUCUGUCACUUGUGAACAAUGAACUUCAUUUUUCAGAAACUUGCUACAAAUGAUUUUCAAAAAUCCCAAAAAUGGUGGUGAAAAAUAUAUACCCAUUCCCCUCAUUGAGGUCCUUGAUUUAGAAAGCCUAAUUUUUACUCUUAAGUGCAAAUGCUGUCUGUAUCACCCAGUCUAGUUACCUAGCUCAUGUUUCUACUUUAUGCUCAGCUUUGAAAAUUUGUUCUGACGUGGAUACCAAGAUGCUGU